rnacentral:rRNA from 1 species
GUAACUGCGAGUGAAGCGGGAAAAGCUCAAAUUUAAAAUCUGGCGGCGUUGGCCGUCCGAGUUGUAGUCUGGAGAAGUGCUUUCGGCGCUGGACCGUGUACAAGUCUCUUGGAACAGAGCGUCAUAGAGGGUGAGAAUCCCGUCUUUGACACGGACUACCAGUGCUUUGUGAUGCGCUCUCAAAGAGUCGAGUUGUUUGGGAAUGCAGCUCAAAAUGGGUGGUGAAUUCCAUCUAAAGCUAAAUAUUGGCGAGAGACCGAUAGCGAACAAGUACCGUGAGGGAAAGAUGAAAAGCACUUUGGAAAGAGAGUUAAACAGUACGUGAAAUUGCUGAAAGGGAAACGCUUGAAGUCAGUCGCGUCGUCUAUAACUCAGCCUUGCUGCGGCUUGGUGCACUUUGUAGACGACGGGCCAGCAUCGAUUUCGACCGUCGGAAAAGGGCUGGAGUAAUGUGGCACCGCCAGGUGUGUUAUAGACUCUGGUCGGAUACGGCGGUCGGGAUCGAGGAACGCAGCGCGCCGCAAGGCAGGGGGUUCCCACUAUCGCGCUUAGGAUGCUGGCAUAAUGGCUUUAAACGACCCGUCUUGAAACACGGACCAAGGAGUCUAACAUGCCUGCGAGUGUUUGGGUGGAAAACCCGAGCGCGUAAUGAAAGUGAAAGUUGAGACCUCUGUCGUGGAGGGCAUCGACGCCCGGACCUGACGUUCUCUGAAGGAUCCGCGGUAGAGCAUGUAUGUUGGGACCCGAAAGAUGGUGAACUAUGCCUGAAUAGGGUGAAGCCAGAGGAAACUCUGGUGGAGGCUCGUAGCGAUUCUGACGUGCAAAUCGAUCGUCAAAUUUGGGUAUAGGG